GACGAACGCUGGCGGCGUGCUUAACACAUGCAAGUCGAGCGAUGAAGUUCCUUCGGGAAUGGAUUAGCGGCGGACGGGUGAGUAACACGUGGGUAACCUGCCUCAUAGAGGGGAAUAGCCUUCCGAAAGGAAGAUUAAUACCGCAUAAGAUUGUAGUACCGCAUGGUAUAGCAAUUAAAGGAGUAAUUCGCUAUGAGAUGGACCCGCGUCGCAUUAGCUAGUUGGUGAGGUAACUGCUCACCAAGGCGACGAUGCGUAGCCGGCCUGAGAGGGAGGAGCGACCACAUGGGGACGGAGACACGGCCCGGACUCCUACGGGAGGCAGCAGUGGGGAAUAUUGCACAAUGGGGGAAACCCUGAUGCAGCAACGCCGCGUGAGUGAUGACGGUCUUCGGAUUGUAAAGCUCUGUCUUCAGGGACGAUAAUGACGGUACCUGAGGAGGAAGCCACGGCUAACUACGUGCCAGCAGCCGCCGUAA
rnacentral:rRNA from 1 species